rnacentral:rRNA from 1 species
UACGUAGGGUGCGAGCGUUGUCCGGAAUUAUUGGGCGUAAAGAGCUCGUAGGCGGUGUGUCACGUCGGCCGUGAAAACCUGCAGCUUAACUGUGGGCGUGCGGUCGAUACGGGCAUCACUGGAGUUCGGCAGGGGAGACUGGAAUUCCUGGUGUAGCGGUGAAAUGCGCAGAUAUCAGGAGGAACACCGGUGGCGAAGGCGGGUCUCUGGGACGAUACUGACGCUGAGGAGCGAAAGCGUGGGGAGCAAACAGG